GCAUAACACAUUCAAGUCGAACGGAGUUGUUUGACCAGAUCCCUUCGGGGUGACGGUCAGAUAACUUAGUGGCGGACGGGUGAGUAACGCGUGAGCAACCUGCCUCUGUAUGGGGAAUAACGUCGGGAAACUGACGCUAAUACCUCAUGAUGCAACGGAAUCGCAUGUUUCUGUUGCCAAAGAUUUAUUGUACAGAGAUGGGCUCGCGUCUAAUUAGGUAGUUGGUGAGGUAACGGCCCACCAGGCCGACGAUCAGUAGCCGGACUGAGAGGUUGAACGGCCACAUUGGAACUGAGAUACGGUCCAGACUCCUACGGGAGGCAGCAGUGGGGAAUAUUGGGCAAUGGGCGAAAGCCUGACCCAGCGACGCCGCGUGAGGGAAGAAGGUCUUCGGAUUGUAAACCUUUGUUGACAGGGAAGAAGAAAGUGACGGUACCUGUCGAGGAAGCCACGGCUAACUACGUGCCAGCCGCCGCAGUAAUAC
rnacentral:rRNA from 1 species